CACUUUCGACAACGGAUCUCUUGGCUCUCCCAUCGAUGAAGAACGCAGCGAAAUGCGAUAAGUAAUGUGAAUUGCAGAAUUCAGUGACUCAUCGAAUCUUUGAACGCACCUUGCGCCCUUUGGUAUUCCGAAGGGCAUGCCUGUUUGAGUGUCAUUAAAUUCUCAACUUUGCAAGCUUUUUCUAGCUUGCGAGGCUUGGAUGUGAGGGUUUUGCUGGCUUCCUUUAAGUUGGAUGGUCUGCCCCCUUUAAAUUCAUUAGUGGGAUCCUUUGUGGAUGGUCACUUGGUGUGAUAAUUAUCUACGCCGCCUGACUCUGAUACAAAACUUGUGGGAACCUGCUUAUAACCGUCUCUUUCAGAGACACUAUCAUUGACAAUUUGACCUCAAAUCAGGUAGGACUACCCGCUGAACUUAAGCAUAUCAAGAAGCGGAGGCU
rnacentral:misc_RNA from 1 species